UACGAGGGGGGCGAGCGUUGUUCGGAACUAUUGGGCGUAAAGGGUGCGUAGGCGGUUUUGUAAGUCUUAUGUGAAAUCUAUGGGCUCAACUCAUAGACUGCAUGAGAAACUGCAGGGCUUGAGUAUGGGAGAGGUGAGUGGAAUUCCUGGUGUAGCGGUGAAAUGCGUAGAUAUCAGGAGGAACACCUGUGGCGAAAGCGGCUCACUGGACCAUAACUGACGCUGAUGCACGAAAGCUAGGGGAGCAAACAGG
rnacentral:rRNA from 1 species